rnacentral:lncRNA from 1 species
AUGACUUUGAGUGUGGGAUAAACAACAAGCAUGUAACGUCACUAAAACAAAGAGGCUGCUUGUGCAUUAAAUAAACGAGCGGGAAAUAGACAAAAUGGAACAGCAGUAUUUUCCAAUUAAAAAAUUCAUUGCACUUAUAAGUCACCUGUCAGUGAGGGAAUCCUCAAAUUCCAAAGAAGCUUGCUCAGCCUCUAAAGACGACCUCUUAUUCCAGUGGAGACUACCAGCUGCAUUCACACACCAAUCACAGUGGGUGUCCUUGGGUCCUUUCCAAGUUUAGAGGGACUUUUUUGGGUAAAGACUAAGACUACUAUGGGAUCAGAGGAAUCCAUGAACUAUGGAAAUAUCUUCUCAACUAGGAGGUAAACUCCACGGGAGCCAACACCGUUUUCUUCACCGUCUAACCACAAGUAGCAGGUUUCCAUUGUACGGAGUGAACAAUACAGGGGCCCAGGGGGCCAAAAUAAACUCAUAAAGUGCCCGUGAGUUUUAACCAAAGACUGCAGCUCUACAUGAUUAAAAGCUUUAAAUUCUCAAAGAGCAACACGAGUAAUCCAGGACCACAGUGCUGAGUGGCUUCACACUGGCUUCAUUUGUUGGUUAACUGCCGGUAGUAAACUGAAGAUGACACGCUGAAGAAUCUAUUUGUGCUCUAAUUCCAUAACAUGUCGCCACUUGAGUUAGAAAUGUAAUAAUAUUUCUGCAACAUGCUGUGAUUCAUCUCUGAGGGAAAGGAUGGAUAUUCAGGGCCAGGGACGUGAGCCUGUGAUAUCGGUAAUCAGUCAUUUCAAACAUAAAGUCAGCCUUAAGAUACCCUUCAGUGGGUCAGCCAACUGAGGCUCUGUUUACCAUCUUGCUGCGUAAUUUUCUACAUCCAAAGUCUCUCUUUCCCAACAACUGGGCGUUAUGUGAGAAAUAAUGAACUUUAGGUACUGGGCGUUAUGUGAGAAAUAGUGAACUUUAGGUAUCUCUUCCUGCCUAUUUUCGCCUUGGUUCAGCUGCUGACGUACACAUUUUUUGGGCCAUGGUUAUUAAAUGGAUUGCACAGCUUUAGUAGGCAAAAUCAAUGUCAUAGGACUUUGAGAAUGACCAAAAUCUAAAGAGUUAUGAGGGGAGUCCUGAUGGUGACUUCUUCUUAAUCGGUGUAUAAAUACUCUACAUUUUUCUCGUGUUUUUAUUCUUUUGGGGAAACUGGAGAGGAGUUGCAGCUGAUGACACUAUUCCACCUGAACAGCCCUAAAUAUUAACUUGUGGCUACUUGCUAUUGAACAACCACAGAGAAAUAACCAAAGAUUAAUAAACGUUGCUCAAUUUAAUGGCGGUUGUUCUGGGGCCAGUUCUUCCUCACAGUAUUUUGAGUGUACACAGCAGCUGCAAGCUUAAAAUGAAAGGUUUCUCAAGUUCACCUCUUAGCCCCUGUAAUACUUCAGCUAAGCCUGCCUGAGGACUUCCUCCCUUUCUUUGAUGGAAAUAAUAAACUGUGAUGAGUUCGCAAUAACAGCUCUCGUUCCCACCACCAUCUUAUUUCUAAGAAGUGAAACAAUA